CCUACGGGAGGCAGCAGUGAGGAAUAUUGGUCAAUGGACGGAAGUCUGAACCAGCCAUGCCGCGUGCAGGAAGACGGCUCUAUGAGUUGUAAACUGCUUUUGUACAAAGGUAAACCUGAAUACGUGUAUUCAGCUGAAAGUACUGUACGAAUAAGGAUCGGCUAACUCCGUGCCAGCAGCCGCGGUACUACGGAGGAUCCAAGCGUUCUCCGGAUUUAUUGGGUUUAAAGGGUGCGUAGGCGGAUUGAUAAGUUAGAGGUGAAAUGGCCGAGCUUAACUCGGGAAUUGCCUCUAAUACUGGUGAUCUAGAGAGUAGAUGCGGGAGGCGGAAUGUAUGGUGUAGCGGGGAAAUGCUUAGAGAUCAUACAGAACACCGAUUGCGAAGGCAGCUUACCAAUCUAUAUCUGACGUUGAGGCACGAAAGCGUGGGGAGCAAACAGGAUUAGAUACCCCAGUAGUC
rnacentral:rRNA from 1 species